GAUGAACGCUGGCGGCGUGCUUAACACAUGCAAGUCGAACGGUGAAGCAGAGCUUGCUCUGUGGAUCAGUGGCGAACGGGUGAGUAACACGUGAGCAACCUGCCCCUGACUCUGGGAUAAGCGCUGGAAACGGCGUCUAAUACUGGAUAUGAGCUGCGACCGCAUGGUCAGCAGUUGGAAAGAUUUUUCGGUCUGGGAUGGGCUCACGGCCUAUCAGCUUGUUGGUGAGGUAAUGGCUCACCAAGGCGUCGACGGGUAGCCGGCCUGAGAGGGUGACCGGCCACACUGGGACUGAGACACGGCCCAGACUCCUACGGGAGGCAGCAGUGGGGAAUAUUGCACAAUGGGCGAAAGCCUGAUGCAGCAACGCCGCGUGAGGGAUGACGGCCUUCGGGUUGUAAACCUCUUUUAGCAGGGAAGAAGCGAAAGCGACGGUACCUGCAGAAAAGGCGCCGGCUAACUACGUG
rnacentral:rRNA from 1 species